AUGGUCCAUCCACUGCUGGAUGAAGGCCUCUCCACACCCACCGCUGCCCCCUCUCACGAUCCUGUGAUGUAACAAUCCACCCAGCACCUGCACACGAUUUCAUCGCUCCAUCUUCUCGGUUGAUUCUGAUUCCAUGAGGCUCGCUCGAUGUUUUCAUCGUUGUGUGAUGGUGGUGAUGGUGGUGCUGGUGGGAGAGGGAACCGGUCGCCACAAUGGCGGUGACCACCUUUUUUAAUAAUAUAUUUUUUGUCAUUUUAAACCAAUUUUAUCCUGAUUGUACUAUCGCAUCAUGUCAUGAGACGAAGUCACCUCUGAGAUCUCGCGUAGAGCAGAUAACCGUCUAUGUUAGGGAACGGCCCACGGAAACGGAUAUUACAGUACUCGCUCUGAGAUUCCUUCAAGGGACAUGGUCUAUACAGUCGAGGGGAGAGAAAUGUUUGUUGCACAAUAGUCAAAUGAAUAUUUGUAAUUCCCAGAGCUGGAAUUGAGUUCAAUUCAGUGCAGAACUGAAUUUAAUGUUACGGAUAUUUGCGCAGUUGUGGAAGACCAGGCGGAGAUCAUCAACUCUUGAGAAUCCAGUUUAAUCACAACUCAGUUUCUGUGAGUCUAUGGUCCUCUAUAUGAGUUCAUGGGUGUCUAUGUAAGUCCGUGGGUUUCUCUGUGAGUUUAUGGUUUUCCAUGUGAGUAUAAAUCUGUACGUGAGUAUGUGGGUCUGUGUGCAACUCACCGAUGACUUGGCUGAGACCAUCAGCACACUACGCUUGUGAACCUGGUUUAAUCACAAAUCUGUCUUUGUGAGUCUGCGGGUAAAUAUGUAGGAAUAUGGGUCUGUGUGAGUCUGUGGGUCUCUAUAUAUGUUUAUGGGUCUGUAGGUAGCUUGAUAACCCGGUUUAAUCACUGAUAAUAAUAAUAAUACUAAUGCACAUUUAUAUAGCACCCUUAAACAAUCAUUCUCAGGGUGGUAUGGCGGCUGAAACCUGUACUCGAACCCAGAAUCUCGGCGGUGCCGGCUCAGCAUCUCUGACCUCAGAGCCACCUGGUGGCCAUCUCUCAUCCCUUUUCAUUAUUGGCAGGAUCUUUCGGAGCUCGGGGAGAGUCUGGCGGCAUGGCGACGUGAGCUGGGGGAGAGUGCGCGAGCGGUGCAGGAGCACGGCAGUCUCGUCCGGCGAGGAGCCGUUAAACCAAACAUGCUGCUGUGAUCGAGAGCCGCAGGAGGCGAUGCUGACGGCCACCUUCGAGCCGUCGGUGGCGCACGCAGCUUCGCCGAAGCGGCGUGCUGGAGCGGGUACGAGCCACGGUGUGGCGCUCGGAUUGGAUUGGCGGUUUAUCCAGCGCGAGGAGAAGGAGCCGGUCGUGUCACACGAGCAGGAACUGGAGGAAUGCUCCGAGAUGCUGCGGUACUCCAAGGCUGACCUGGUGGCAGCAUGAGAGCCUGGCACCGAAGCCGAGCCGCCGUGCACCGAGGCUGCUGAGCCACUGUGCAGGAGCCAUUCGCCGACCGAGAGGCACAGUCGGCAAAAUGACCAGCAGCAGGAGCGCGCGGGGAGGACUCGGGCGGGACUGGCGGCAAUGCAGGCACAGCGGCCGGAUGAUCGUAGCACGUGUAGGUGCUGGUGGAUGAGGAGUCCCGUCCCCGCGAGGAGCUCCACGACACCAGGGGCAAGAUGUAGUUCCUCAAAACAGAGCUGCGAGCCACCAGGACAGAGGAGGCCACGCGGGCGCAGGAGGUGAUGCGGCUGCAGCUUGCGCCGGUGGCACGCAGAGCCUGAGACCGGGCACGUGCACGGCCAGAUCACCGGGUGGAGCAGCUGGAAGCGACGUGCGGGAGGAGCUGGAAGUGGAGCAACAGUUGCUUGAUGGAGGCUGAGGACGACGCGCGCCAGCUGGCAGACACCACGUGCGCCGAGGCCUCCACGCUGCGCGAGUAGCGCGGGGACGAUGCGAAUCGGGUACGGCCUGCGCUGCGUGGGGAAAUGCUGGUGGAUAAGGUCACUCCUCGGGUUGCCACCUGUUCUGGUUCCCGGAAUAGCCCUCUUUUUGAAGUAGCUGUCCGGGAUGUUUUAGGUCCCAGUCUUUGUCGGUUGCGGGAUAACACCACCACUCAAGAUCAUGCCAAACGUGUGGUUCUCCCCUCCUCCGGUGUUGUGAGAGAUUCUUAUUCCCAUCUAAUGUUCUGCUUAGCAGCCGUAUAAGGGGGCAAGUGCUUGUGCAAGCAAGCAGGCAACUGAGGUUGUUCCCCGUUCCAUUUUAGCUUUUUGGAAAGCCUCGUGCGGAACAUCAAGGAGAUUGUGACCAAAGUCGUCGCCAUCCACAGGGGACAUAGACUCGUGGUUCAGAUUUUAAGAGUUACAGUAAUAAUGCAUUUCUAGACAACAACAGUAAUAAUGUGAGAAUAAUAAUAAUGUAUUUCAUAGACAGAAUAGGUGCAAUUGUGGCCAUAAGAUUGGUCCUCCCAUUAUGCCUUUUUAUUUUACCUGCAGAUAGGUGAAUGUUGGAGGGGGUAUUUACACCAAUGACUAAGAAAGGCAAGCCUUAGACGAAGCCUGUAAUCUACGCAGCAUUACACGCCGAUCCUUGACAUCGAUUCGUUUUGGAUGCACCUAACAUACUAACGCGAGGGCCACCCUUAACACAACCUGGCGAUGUCACAACAUUGAGAUUAACGUGCGAUGCAUAACCGAGGCACUACUUGCUCUUUGUCUGUGCGGCUGGUCGACCGACGAUGCAGCCUUGUGCUCGCGAACACUGUGGGUUUUUGGCACUGAGCUCAGACGAUUACUUCUGUGCGUCGGGCGUCUGCGGCAAGAACAGACACACGGAGGUGGUGGGGGGAGGGCGGCAGACGGGCAGGGUCAGGCGCACAGCAGCCCCCAUCUCUGUAAACACAUCAGGGGAGGGGAGCAGGGGGGGAAGGGAGGGGGGCCACCGGUAGCCAGGGUGGGAUAUACUGAAUUGGAUCGGGGUUUGAUGACAGCUGCUUGUUUCUGAUCAAGGAAGCAUAUACAAUAUUCUGGGCGGUAAGCUAAAGGGGUGUCCGUCUCUUGUUGUGCUUCUGUCAGAUGCGUGUGGACUGGAGGCCCGUUUAUUGCUUGUCACAUCUCCUGGUUUGCCGCUGCUGUAAUUAGCUUAUUAAAAAAAAGUGAGGGGGGAUGGUGAUUGAGAGGCAGUCGGGAGGGCGACUUGAUUGCUGUCAGAAAGCGGGACCCGCCCGCCUGCCUGUACGCCCAUCCGCCCGUCCGCCACGCUGUCAGCCCGCCCGCAUUACAAUGAGUGGCACAAAUUGAAUGGGCUCUGCCCUUUGAACCCAGCCCCAUGCGCGCUGGCACAUUAUCAUGCGAGGAUAAGUAUGCCUUUGCUGUCACGCUGGCGCCCGCUGUUUUGAUAUGCAUCACCUGCGUGGGCCGCUUGCGACGGUUACAAAUGGCGAGCUGAGCUACGAUUUGAUAUUCCUGCAUACAUUUUUAUACGCAGGGUAUGGCAAAGGCGAAUUUACAAACAAAAACAUCGUAUAUAUAUUUUUAGUGAGUGCAAAAUCGUACGAUUUGAAUUAUUUCCCCAAAAAAACCAAGCCGCGUCCAAUCCAGUCCAUUAGAUUGGAUGGCUGUCAUGAAGAAAAAUACAGGGUGUGAUUGACGACAGUUCUGCUUGAAAUAACGACUUGUCUCUAAAAUUACAAACCCACGCGUGAUUUUAAACGACCUACAUUCCUGCUCAUCCAGUUGAGCGUUAAGACAUCUCCUUACCGCCUCUGCCUGGUAAAUAUCAGCUGUGUGGUCAAGCGACCUUUGCGCAUUGUUCAGGAGGCUCGCGACUUGCAUUUGUCCUCCUCUUUCUUCCCAAGCCCGCAACAUUUGCACAUGCUCAUGUGUGCUCGUGUGUGUGCUCGCGUGCGUGCGUGUCCUCCCGCACGCGCGCACACGCGCACGCGUACAUCGCCUAUUGCCCAUCACACACCUCGCGGCAACUUGCCUCCCUUUGUCAUUGUCUCAUUAUGUCCCUUGCCUGCGCACCGAGCCUCUGCAGAGGUGGGACGAUGUACAGUAGGCAUAUAUGCGCGUGAAUGUAUAAUGCGGUACGUAUCGUAAAUAUAAAAAUAAAUUUAUAAGCGGGCCGCGCGCGGAAUGCAGACGAGGGCGGCAGAUAAGUCUGUGUUUGGUUAUCUCCGUACGCGCAGCACGCCUGGCUGCCGCGCCUGCCACUCACACCCGACGGGCAGGGUGGGGGGGGAGCGGCGGUUGGGGGCGGGGGGACGUAACCGUGACCUGGAAAUCGACCCUGACAUUAACCCCGGCGCGAGCACGGCAUGGACGGCGAGCACCCUAUCUGCGCCCGCACCCUCGCUUCGGGGACAAAAUGGACUCCCGUUUUGUCAGCCACGUUUAAAAAAGCGCCGGCUUCGGCUCAUCGCCCACGCGCCAGCGGCAGAUGCAAUCGUGCAGACGGCGUAGGGCCGUGUUCGGUGACAGUCGCGUGUUGGAAAAAAUUGGAGUUGCGGUCAUGAAACGCCACCCGUGACCCUGACGCCUUACUUAAUUAUGUGCCGCGAGUGGCCAUGUAAUGACAGUGGGGGCUUUGUUGCAAUGAGUGGGAAAGUCGGAUUUAGUGACUCGGGAGCAUUGCUGGUAACUGCAUGAAAAAAAAAAUGGUUACCGGUCCAGUGCUGAAUACAAUUGCGUUACCUUUUCAGCUGAUUAAUGAAGGGAGCUGCCGAGAUGUAAUGGUGAGCACGCUGGAAACUUGGCCCUUCCGCCAGCAGUAGCGCAAGCAAGCGAGCAAUUGCAGGGUUCCACUUUUACCUCUUCACGUACGUCCGUACGUUACUAACAUUCCACUGGAAUCACCGGUUCCUAAUGUAUGGGACCUUACCUGGUUUACCGGUUGUCACUGAACAACCCUGGUUCAGACAAUUGCCAGACGGCCGCGUGUGUGCUGAUUGCAGCCUCAAGUUUAUUGCGCUGUCUGGGAGGACCGUGUGUUUUAACGGGGUGACUUGCGCAGUGCAUUUGUGUGCUGCUUUUGAUAUUUGUGUGCAAUACUACCCACUGUAGCCGUGUAUUGACGUCGCUUCCCCCCAUUGCUUCCAACAGAGCUUGGACCGUGAGUCACUCACUCACCGGUACGGUUAAUUCGGUAAACAGCGCCCGCAAAAAGAAGAGCAGCUAAGCACAUGCAAAUGUGGACCCACCGGAAAAUGAGUCUUAAGGAUGUGUGUAGUAUGGUGGUGAGCACGUUGUGUUACAAACCCGGUGACACAAGUUCAAUUCCUGCUCACGGCCAACACCGGUGACAAUUAUCUGAACCUGUUCUGGGCCUUCCCUAUGUCAACUCAGCCUCAAAUGAGUACCUAGUGCAGUGUGUAAACAUAGCCAUUGGGAAGAAAAAGGCGGCCGUGCGUGGUGCUGGCAACCCACCCCAUCGUGUGCCAUGCCCGCUAACAGCACUUUCCCCAACAUUCUGUUCAGGCUAUAUGGGGAUUUUUGUUUUUGUGUAUGUCAGGUGUCUAAAGGAGAAUUACUUUCCUCGAUAAAUGGCAUUUUGUUUCUCAUUAAAGCAGCUGUUUGCUCACAUUUUUUUAUUUUCAGAAGCAAUGAAUACAAUUUAAAUAUCCUGAUGAGGUUCGCUGCAUUGUAUAGUGUUGUCACUAAAAUGCAGUUGACUUGCAUUUGUGAGAAAAACAAAUUGAGCUUGUACAGCGACAGACGGCUCGACACACACCAUCGAGAUGCAGUGAUCAGUGGCAAUUGUUUCUCUGGUUGCAAGUUGGGCUUAAUUUCAAGGAAAAGAAUAUACAGUACAAACAAGCAACGAGAAAUCUAAAUAUGUGUGUGUUUGUAUACAUUUAUAUUUUUUUAAUGUACUAUGAUCAGCCUGCUGCACUCUGAACCCAGCGUCCUGAGUUUGAUAGCCAGCCGUGGCUCACAUCGGUGGCUAUUACUAUCUGAACCAGUCUUGGGUCCACCACCCCACGCUGACCAGCGUGAUGGAGUAUAACCAAUCAACUCUCAUGACUGGCGCAGCUCGGGGUAAACCUUCAUCUAGCAGUGGAACAACAAAAGCAGUGGAUGCAUCAUGGCUACUUACGAUGACGAUGAUGACGGCGAUAAUAAAAUUAAUGUCUGUCAAGAGGACGAGCAGACGCCCACGCGGCUGAAGAAGGAACUCAAGGCGAAUGACAUGGCUCCCGGCCGGAGCUCUCUACCCCCGAGCAGGGACUGUCUGAAUUACAGAACGAGGACACCCUGAGUCAGGUAACACUCCCAGCCUGAUUCCCACGGCUGCUGGAAACCCGGGCUCAGCUGGCCCUGGAACAGCCCGGGACUGACCCUGACAGCAUCAGGGCCUGGGCUGUGUUGUCACCAUGUGACUCGAAUCGUGAGGCUGUGUAGGGUCCGACCCUCUGCUCCCCUCUGCUGCGUGCAUCCUCUCCCUGUGGAAGGGUUGGGAAGCGAUUUUAAUUUACACUUGUAAUUAAUGUUAAUGCAGCGUUUGGGUUUAUUGACCCAUCUGUGUGGGCUUUUAUAGGCGUUAUCUUGGGUUGUAUGCGUGGUAGUCGCCCAUUCAACCACUAUCCAUGUUCAUUCCUGCUUUGCUACCAAGAUCUCUCGAGAUUGGGCACAUUCCGGGUGAUUCGGUCAUCGGUGGCAUAUGUGUGUGUUGUUGUAUCUGCAUGUUCUAUAAUAACUGCACACCGUCGUUGCUAUGCUGCGUCUUUCCGCCGCCGUUUGCCUGUGGCCCACGCAGCUCGUCAAGGGGGGCCCCUGUAGGCGGAGGCUGCGCGGUACGAGCGCAGGGCUGGCGCCUUGCCGGCAAGAAUAUGCGGAGCAUGCCAGCGGAGCUUCAGUAGCUGCACUUUCUGCGCCGGAAGAGCGAGGCAGAGGCCACGAGCUCCAAGGGGCACGUGGACCAGCUGAGUGCGCAGGCGGAUGUAUCGCAACAGACGCUGGGCAAGCGCGAUGAGGAGACGGAUGCCGUGCGGCCUGAGCUGACCUCGCUGCAUGAGGCCCUGUGUCUCAAGAUCGUCGUGGACAAAAGGCGGCCGCGCUGACGGCCAAGCUGGAGUCACUCUAGGCAUCAUCACCAGGCCACCGAGCGUGCGUUGAGCGGCGGUGUCGGUCAGGAGAGGAAGCCAGCCGGCUCACCCCGCCCCAGCUCAGAGCGAUCACGUGACUCUCGGUGAAGACGAUGGAGCAAUCCCUGAAGGUGUUGCAGAACGACACGAGGUAGAGCGAGCUCACGGUGUCCGGCUUGCAGCAGUGGAUCGCUCAGCAGAAGCUAGGCAGCAGGAAGAUCUGCAAAGCCACGACAUCGAGGAGCUCACCGCGGAGAGAGAGUUGGCAAACACAGGCUGGCCACAUCAAGGUUGAGGACAAAGAGGAAGAGGAUGUGCCUGGCCAUUAAUAGGAGCAAGGGAUGGAACAACCCCCUUCCCCAGAACUCCCCCACUCACCACCCACCUUUCCACCCCCUCUGAGCCCCUCACAGCCCCCCCCCUCACACUUCCAAACACUUCCCACCCCCACCAGCACCUCCCCUUCUUCCCUACAGAGUGUCACAUUAGAACAAUAAGAAAGUAUCGCCAAGUCUCAAUGCUUUUGAGUCGUUUGGUCUUUCUCUCUGGGACAUGCGAGUGGCUCUCGCAUUUCCAACACCGAGCGCUGUCUCAGUCCACAGUGUGAGUGGGCCCCACCAUGGCUGUUGCGGAGCUUCGAGGAGCCGAAUGUGAGGCAGAGUUCCCUGGCCCUCCAGGGGAUUCGCACUGAGCUUGAGUAGGGGGUGACGAGCAUCAGGUUGUGGUGGUGGUGGAAAUUGAGGACUACGAGGAGGAGAUGUCCGUCGCCCAUAGUCGAACCAGGAACCGUAGUCGUUCCCACGUCCCCGAUUGCGAGAGGCAGUGCUGGCGGACAGUUCCACGAUCUCAGGCGUACGUUUCAGACACUAAGGACAUGGGUACUUAUUACCAUAAUCACGCAAUGAUUUUUAAUUGGGCGUAGUAUGUCAACCAAUUGGGACUGUGAUUCAGAUAGAAGUCAUCCGUACACCUUUCUUGAUGAGGGAGAAAUGCUCGUUAACACAGCGGUGUUGGACGUACUGAGACGAACUGACGUCUUCAUCCACGCUGGGAUGGUGGUGAAGGUGCAGUCUGGUUUGUGUGUACAUCAAACCAAUCCAUGAAUAAGCCAUAUUUUCUAAAACGAUUAUUACCAUCAAAAUGACCUGCCAUAUAUAUAAAAUUGUGAUGAUUCUAAAAUUUACUGUGAGGUUUUCCUAAGCUGUGCAACUGCCCUACAUGUAGUGUCAAAUACUGACACUGAAAAAUAUUUGCUGCAGCGAAUCAGAAGCCUUAUCACUAUCCCAAACUGCAACUCGCAGAGGACUAGGGAACAUAUGACAACUCAUUGCCCCAUUGGCAAAUACAAUGGAGGAGGCAUCAUCAGAGCGAUACACUCUGCUACUCCUGACGCAAUCUUCUGGCUCAACCAUCUCAAUGUAAAAUCGUAGUUGCACUUCAAUGUAUGGAUGUAUUUGUAACUUCUUUCGCACUGUACGUAGCCAACCGUGCCAUACGAAUAAGACUCCAACCCUCUUUGCUAAUUCGACUGUCCACCUGUCCUGAUUUUUCCAGGAUCAUCUUUUUGAAGUUGCCAUUGUGGGAAAUAUGUAGGUCUUCCUUCGACAUUAAAAGUCCGCAUCUUUGUCGGUUGCAUAAUAAAACAAUAUAGUGUACCACUCAAAACGCCAGUCUUUCAAAAUCAUGCCACUCAGAGGUUGGUGAAUGUGCCGUGUGGGUCCGAACGGCGGCCGGGAGUUGGGGGGGUGGGGGAGUGGCGGUGCGCGUGGCGCAGUUUCGGCCCUUGUCACCACGAGCGGUCGACCCGCACACGUGUCGAUCGUUUGCCGCGCAGCGCCACAAGCAGACGAGAUUUCACCGCUCUCUAUGAGCACGAGGGAAAGAUCUUGAAGCUUUGUGGGGGCGAGUAACUGUGGGGGGCCCAAGUCAGGUAGCCAUGGGCACCCAUGAAGGCUGUUUAGGGGGGACAAGCAAUAUACUUUGUCCCCCGCCCCUGACCUACUGUGUCCCCGUGAGCGCGGGGUCUCGGCAGUGCUGGCAGUGCGAGGCUCAUCGUGCUGCGCUGCUCACGAGUGCUUGAUUGUUAAUGCAGUCUAAUCGAACAAAGGUGUUUGCAUGAGCAUUUUUUACACCUGAAUUUAGAUUUUUUUUGUAUGAUGCUGCUGAUGAUUGGCAUGAUGUUUCUGUGUUUGCUGCUGGUGAGUGAUGGUGGUGAUGGUGGCGAGUGAUACGUGAACCAGUCUCUGCACACCUCCUUCCCCCACCAAUGCACACUGCCCAGCGUGGGGAAGUAUGCUCAUAUUACUGACAUGGGGAGGCCUUCGGUUGAAGGGCAGCACAUUCUUUCACAUUUUUCUAUUCCUGCCAUCUGUUCAGUAAUGCUCCACGGAAGCUAAAGAGGGUCUUGCGCUGGUAUGCUUGGCCAGUUAAGGAGUGCGUCUCUGCAUGUACGAUUAAGUCGAUGUACUCGGACAAACCCCUAUGGCUUUAAGAGGGGCUAGCAUGCAAUUGUCCGCACAGACGGGUUCAUAUACCCAGAUUAGCCUUCUCACCUGGUCAGACUCCCAUUGAUGUAUUUAGUCAAUUCCUCUUUUUUGAAUGAGUUUGCGUGCAUCCUGCUGAGUUCAUUUUAGUAUAAAGAUUGUAAUGAAAAGUAGAACGCUUCAGUUGAUUGGAUUUGACAUCAGCACAGCUCUACAUUGACGUACACAAAAAAAAUAACAGCGCGGUCAUAUUCAUCAAAAAUCGCCCACGGAGCCCACACCUCGCUCUCUCGCUUCGCUCCGGGGAGGACUUUUUGUGCAAAGCAAUCAGGUGGCGAGGGGGCAAACGCGCAGGGAGAAGGGGCGACAAAACAAACUCGAUUCGAAAACGGAGGUAAAUUACUCUCACAGUAAUGGCACUGCACUCAUUACAGCACCAAAAAAUAGAGGACCCAGCGGGGAGGAUGAGCGGCGUCGCUGUGAGCGCCGCGUGAUUUCGCUUUUGUUGCUGGCGGCUCUCGGUGCGGAGCUCACGCUCGGUGCAGGAACGAGCGCUCCGGGCCAAGAUUGGCGAGAAAGAAUAGACGAACUUAAGUGGACGGCGGCCUCGACGCAAUUAAGCGCGUGGUUCAAUUUGCCGGCAGGCGCGCGACGCGGAUUUCACGUCCAGAGGAGACGCUUUAUCCAACCCAACCAAAUGGCAUGGCGAUUUCUGCGAGAAAUCUUGAGCAAAAAUAAGUGGUUGCUCAGUCUCCUUGAUCGCUCGAGCGGUGAAAUUGUGGCAUUGAAGGUUCCCAGGUUUGUUUUAUGCAUUGUUGGAAUCUUUAAAAUGAUGAGACUAGAAUAUGCGAUGAUUUGUGGCGCCGGAGUAUAGUUUUAAUAAUUGGCUGCAAUCAAUUUCCAAGCAAACGAGCCGGACCGAUCCCAGACGUUGGUCAUGGGGCCGCUCGUGCCGUGGAUCCCCGUAGCGUGGCCACGGCGCCCUCUGCUGGACGCGGUGGUAUUAACUAUGAUCACUGCACACGCAAUACCAUGUGUGUGGCGGUCGUGCGUUCGCCGCCGGUGCAGAGGCUCGCGGUUCGAAGCCGGCGGCCGCCAUGAUUAAUAUUGCAGAUGUGUUAACCAUAACAGGACUACGAGAGUAGGCCAUUGUGUGCCGCCGUCAUGAACCAAAUAGAUGAAAUAAAAAAAAUACCUGCAGGUUCCUCAGUUGGAAUUUACAUAGCAACCGUUGCUACUAAAACGUGUCAAAACUCUAUUCAAGAAGAGUCAUGAGUCUCAAUGAGGUUAACCUGGGUAAAAAGAAGUAUGUAAAUAUCAAUUCACAUGCAGACAUGUCCAGCCCUUUAUCAAUCCACUGCUGAAUGAGAGCCUUUGCACACUUUUUGUAGUCUUAUCGGUUUUAUGACCAUUCUGGUUAGUGAGCGCUGGUGAUCAGCACGGUUGACUAACGUUGUUAAAGAAGUUCGACGUGCAUACAGUACAAUAUUAGAUUUGGCUCCAAUGCUCCCUCUGCUGAUUACCCCGUAGCAUGGUCUUGGUGCUGCCUUUGUCAACUGGGCGUGCCUGGUGGGCACCAAUUAUCCAGACCAAAGCCCACUUAGCUCCCGAGAGUGUGCGAGGCUCUGCAUUGUGGAGGCCCUCAUCCAGCAGCGGAUUGGCAAGGAGCUUUGCAUGUUCUUAAAUUCCGCACGACCAUCCCGGCUGGCCCUGCAGGGUCGUGAGCGGUGGUGGUGGCUUGAGGAGGCCUCCAUCCAGCAGGGAAUUGAGCCUGACUGAUGAUGGCGCAUAUGACGAAUUAUUUCGUGAUGCUGCUGCGUUGGCAGUGGUGCACAAGCACAAUUAUCAAACUCCACACAUUCACCAACAGCCCUGUUUUUAAACAGGAAAAAUCUAACGGGCAACGUUUUGAGAAAUGGCUCUUAUGCGCUACGAAAAAGCGCCAUUGCCUGAAAUGUCGCCUUAUAUAUGGGUUAUCUUAAGGCCACAGCGUUAUUGACGACCGUGUUGAGUUCUUCGUUGUUAAUUGUGCACACAAUCAGGGCAUGACGCGUCUGUGCCGCUGCGGAGAUGGGUUUGAGAGAGUGGACGCGGACUCGCCGAUGUAAUCGCAUUAACGCAUACGGCGAACCUCCGACAUCUGUUUUGUGUAAGUAGGGUCUCAGCUAGAGGUCCUGCAGACCACGGGGGUCGCUGCUUCCCUCUCAGGGGAUCUCUUGCCCCUUUCCCAUAGGUUGAUAGUAAUGCUACUAUCUCCUUUGUUUAUCCAGAUAAGCCUCACUGCAUUCGGAUGUUUUGGCCAAUUCCAUCGGUAAUGAUAAUCUGGCUUUAUGGGAGGAAACCGGAGACCUGAAGAAAACCACCACGCUGCCGAGGGGGUUGCACUUCAACCCCAACACAGAUCUGGCUUUCUCACAGCCAAAACAUACAGCAUCUGGUAUGCCCAGACAGUUUCCCAUCAAAGGACUUACCAGGUUCAAGUCUGUUUAGCUUCCGAGAUCGGGCGCAUUCAGUGAUUUGGUCAUUCUGUUGCAAUGCUGUUGCGCUCUUUUGUGCGCAGUCAUUGGUGACCGGCCUGGGACUUGACUCGUUGCUCUUGGUAGCGUGGUUUAAUCACAACUCAGUCCGUGGGAGUCUAUGGGUCUCUUUCCAAGUAUAUGGGUCACGUGUGUGUGUGUGCGCAUCUCUGUACAAGUCUAUGUCGCCCGACUACCAUUAUGCUCCCCCCAUCUCCCCCGUCAAGGAGAUGGGGGAUGCAGCCCUUAGUCCGCCCCUUACGUCUCUGAAAUGGCCUCUAUCGCCUGUAACUUGGGCCGGAAUAUUGCCUCAAUCUGCGGUGACUGUUAUAAUCCCCGAGACCCCGACUCGGCCCACCACGGCCCAUCGCCUCCACUCCCCACAGCCCCCCUCUCACACCACUCCCCUCCAUCGCCGUGUGUGUUCUCUGCUCUAAGCGCCGCCACGAUUUUAUUGUUAGUUUGUCAUUUCGUGGUAAAUCUCGUUUUACGAACGGGUGCGUUCUAUAUUUUCAUUGCCCUCCUAUUUAUACCGUUUUUACUGUGCAGUACGGUUGGGU